rnacentral:rRNA from 1 species
ACGUAGGGGGCGAGCGUUGUCCGGAUUUAUUGGGCGUAAAGAGCUCGUAGGCGGUUUCGUAAGUCGGAUGUGAAAACUCCAGGCUCAACUUGGAGACGCCAUUCGAUACUGCGAUGGCUUGAGUCCGGUAGGGGAGUGUGGAAUUCCUGGUGUAGCGGUGAAAUGCGUAGAUAUCUGGAGGAAUACCGGUGGCGAAGGCGGCAUCCUGGACCGGCAUUGACGCUGAGGAGCGAAAGCCAGGGGAGCAAACGGGA